AGCAGCCACCUUUUAAAACGCGUCAAAGCGUAACCUUAACCCCCAAAAUUCCAUUAAUUUUCAUGAACCCCUAAUUUAUAAUGAAUGACUCCAUAUUUAUAUGGAAGACACCAUGCUAGGAUUAGUAACAAGAAUUUAUAAUUCUCCAAAAUGCAAAUAUAAACCAACAUGGAUGGACCAUUGGUAGUUACCGAACCUAAAUUUUAUGCAAUAACACCCACAAGAAAACUCUGCAGUACUUACUCGUUAACCUAACACCAGCGCAUUACAGGAAAGAUUUAAAAAAAGAGAAGGAAUUCGGCAAAUGACGGCCCCGCCUGUUUACCAAAAACAUCGCCUCUUGACUUAUAAUAAGAGGUCCAGCCUGCCCAGUGAAUUUUAAACGGCCGCGGUAUUCUAACCGCGCGAAGGUAGCAUAAUCACUUGUUCUUUAAAUGGGGACUCGUAUCAACGGCAUCACGAGGGUUUUACUGUCUCCUCUUUUUGAUCAGUGAAAUUGAUCUUCCCGUGAAGAAGCGGGAAUAAAUUUAUAAGACGAGAAGACCCCAUGGAGCUUUAAACCAAAUAACAACUUAACCACUUAUCCCAUAAUAAAUUUAAACCCUGUUAUAAGGUUUUUGGUUGGGGUGACCGCGGAGUAAAGCACAUCCUCCACGACGGAAAGAACAAAAUCUUUAUUUAAGAACCACACUUCUAGAAAUUAGUAUACUAACGUUUACUGACCCGACAAUCGAUCAACGGACCAAGUUACCCUGGGGAUAACAGCGCAAUCUACUUCAAGAGCCCAUAUCGACAAGUAGGCUUACGACCUCGAUGUUGGAUCAGGGUAUCCCGGUGGUGCAGCCGCUACCGAAGGUUCGUUUGUUCAACGAUUAAAACCCUACGUGAUC
rnacentral:rRNA from 1 species